UACGGAGGGGGCUAGCGUUGUCCGAAGUUACUGGGCGUAAAGCGCGCGUAGGCGGGUUGGUAAGUCCGCUGUGAAAGCCCGGAGCUUAACUCCGGAGGGUCGGUGGAUACUGCCAGUCUUGAAGGUGCUAGGGGGAGAUGGAAUUACCGGUGUAGCGGUGAAAUGCGUAGAUAUCGGUAGGAACACCAGUGGCGAAGGCGGUCUCCUGGGGCAUUCUUGACGCUGAGGCGCGAAAGCUAGGGGAGCAAACGGG
rnacentral:rRNA from 1 species